rnacentral:rRNA from 1 species
GGUGAGUAAUGCAUAAGUUAUGUGCCCCAUAGUCUGGGAUAGCCACUGGAAACGGUGAUUAAUACCGGAUACUCCUUACGAGGGAAAGUUUUUCGCUAUGGGAUCAGCCUAUGUCCUAUCAGCCUGUUGGUGAGGUAAUGGCUCACCAAGGCUAUGACGGGUAUCCGGCCUGAGAGGGUGAACGGACACACUGGAACUGAGACACGGUCCAGACUCCUACGGGAGGCAGCAGU